rnacentral:rRNA from 1 species
GAGUUGUUGCCCUUGAGGGCGUUGCCUUCCGGAGUUAACGCGUUAAGUCGACGCCUUGGGAGUACGCGCAAGGUUAAACUCAAAUGAAUUGACGGGGGCCCGCACCAAGCGGUGGAGCAUGUGGUUUAAUUCGAUGCAACGCGAAGAACCUUACCUGGUCUUGACAUUCCACGGAAGUUUUCAGAGAUGAGAAUGUGCCUUCGGGAACCGUGAGACAGGUGCUGCAUGGCUGUCGUCAGCUCGUGUUGUGAAAUGUUGGGUUAAGUCCCGCAACGAGCGCAACCCUUAUCCUUUGUUGCCAGCGGUCCGGCCGGGAACUCAAAGGAGACUGCCAGUGAUAAACUGGAGGAAGGUGGGGAUGACGUCAAGUCAUCAUGGCCCUUACGACCAGGGCUACACACGUGCUACAAUGGCGCAUACAAAGAGAAGCGACCUCGCGAGAGCAAGCGGACCUCAUAAAGUGCGUCGUAGUCCGGAUUGGAGUCUGCAACUCGACUCCAUGAAGUCGGAAUCGCUAGUAAUCGUGGUUCAGAAUGCCCGGGAAUACGUUCCCGGCCUGUACACACCGCCCCCCCCUGAGUGCUGCAACGCGUAGUAGCUAACGUCGGAGGCGCUACU